rnacentral:rRNA from 1 species
UACGUAGGGGGCAAGCGUUGUCCGGAAUCAUUGGGUCGUAAAGCGCGUGUAGGCGGCCAGAAAAGUCCGCUGUGAAAACUCGAGGCUCAACUUCGAGCUGUCGGUGGAAACUUUCUGGCUAGAGUCCGGAAGAGGAGAAUGGAAUUCCUGGUGUAGCGGUGAAAUGCGCAGAUAUCAGGAAGAACACCCGUGGCGAAGGCGGUUCUCUGGGACGGUACUGACGCUGGAGACGCGAAAGCGUGGGGAGCGAACAGG